GGCGGCGCGCCUAACACAUGCAAGUCGAACGAGAAAGCGGGAGCAAUCUCGCAAGUACAGUGGCGUACGGGUGAGUAACACGUGGAUUAUCUGCCCUUGAGUGGGGAAUAACGCUGGGAAACCGGCGCCAAUACCGCAUAUUCCCGAGAGGGGAAAGCAGCAAUGCGCUCGAGGAGGAGUCCGCGGCCGAUUAGCUAGUUGGCAGGGUAAAAGCCUACCAAGGCUAUGAUCGGUAGCCGGCCUGAGAGGGCACACGGCCACACUGGCACUGAAACACGGGCCAGACUCCUACGGGAGGCAGCAGUGGGGAAUCUUGCACAAUGGGGGAAACCCUGAUGCAGCGACGCCGCGUGAGCGAUGAAGCCCUUCGGGGUGUAAAGCUCUUUCGGCAGGGAAGAUUAUGACGGUACCUGCAGAAGCAGCUGCGGCUAACUACGUGCCAGCAGCCGCGGUAAUACGUANGCAGCAAGCGUUGUUCGGAGUUACUGGGCGUAAAGGGUGUGUA
rnacentral:rRNA from 1 species